UUAAGUUAUUAAGGGCGCACGGUGGAUGCCUUGGCACUAGAAGCCGAUGAAGGACGUUACUAACGACGAUAUGCUUUGGGGAGCUGUAAGUAAGCUUUGAUCCAGAGAUUUCCGAAUGGGGAAACCCAGCAUGAGUUAUGUCAUGUUAUCGAUAUGUGAAUACAUAGCAUAUCAGAAGGCACACCCGGAGAACUGAAACAUCUUAGUACCCGGAGGAAGAGAAAGAAAAUUCGAUUAAUCUGGGAGGACCAUCUCCUAAGGCUAAAUACUCUCUAGUGACCGAUAGUGAACCAGUACCGUGAGGGAAAGGUGAAAAGCACCCCGGAAGGGGAGUGAAAUAGAACCUGAAACCGUGUGCUUACAAGUAGUCAGAGCCCGUUAAUGGGUGAUGGCGUGCCUUUUGUAGAAUGAACCGGCGAGUUACGAUUUGAUGCAAGGUUAAGCAGUAAAUGUGGAGCCGUAGCGAAAGCGAGUCUGAAUAGGGCGUUUAGUAUUUGGUCGUAGACCCGAAACCAGGUGAUCUACCCUUGGUCAGGUUGAAGUUCAGGUAACACUGAAUGGAGGACCGAACCGACUUACGUUGAAAAGUGAGCGGAUGAACUGAGGGUAGCGGAGAAAUUCCAAUCGAACCUGGAGAUAGCUGGUUCUCUCCGAAAUAGCUUUAGGGCUAGCCUCAAGUGAUGAUUAUUGGAGGUAGAGCACUGUUUGGACGAGGGGCCCCUCUCGGGUUACCGAAUUCAGACAAACUCCGAAUGCCAAUUAAUUUAACUUGGGAGUCAGAACAUGGGUGAUAAGGUCCGUGUUCGAAAGGGAAACAGCCCAGACCACCAGCUAAGGUCCCAAAAUAUAUGUUAAGUGGAAAAGGAUGUGGCGUUGCCCAGACAACUAGGAUGUUGGCUUAGAAGCAGCCAUCAUUUAAAGAGUGCGUAAUAGCUCACUAGUCGAGUGACACUGCGCCGAAAAUGUACCGGGGCUAAACAUAUUACCGAAGCUGUGGAUUGUCCUUUGGACAAUGGUAGGAGAGCGUUCUAAGGGCGUUGAAGCAUGAUCGUAAGGACAUGUGGAGCGCUUAGAAGUGAGAAUGCCGGUGUGAGUAGCGAAAGACGGGUGAGAAUCCCGUCCACCGAUUGACUAAGGUUUCCAGAGGAAGGCUCGUCCGCUCUGGGUUAGUCGGGUCCUAAGCUGAGGCCGACAGGCGUAGGCGAUGGAUAACAGGUUGAUAUUCCUGUACCACCUAUAAUCGUUUUAAUCGAUGGGGGGACGCAGUAGGAUAGGCGAAGCGUGCGAUUGGAUUGCACGUCUAAGCAGUAAGGCUGAGUAUUAGGCAAAUCCGGUACUCGUUAAGGCUGAGCUGUGAUGGGGAGAAGACAUUGAGUCUUCGAGUCGUUGAUUUCACACUGCCGAGAAAAGCCUCUAGAUAGAAAAUAGGUGCCCGUACCGCAAACCGACACAGGUAGUCAAGAUGAGAAUUCUAAGGUGAGCGAGCGAACUCUCGUUAAGGAACUCGGCAAAAUGACCCCGUAACUUCGGGAGAAGGGGUGCUCUUUAGGGUUAACGCCCAGAAGAGCCGCAGUGAAUAGGCCCAAGCGACUGUUUAUCAAAAACACAGGUCUCUGCUAAACCGUAAGGUGAUGUAUAGGGGCUGACGCCUGCCCGGUGCUGGAAGGUUAAGAGGAGUGGUUAGCUUCUGCGAAGCUACGAAUCGAAGCCCCAGUAAACGGCGGCCGUAACUAUAACGGUCCUAAGGUAGCGAAAUUCCUUGUCGGGUAAGUUCCGACCCGCACGAAAGGCGUAACGAUUUGGGCACUGUCUCAACGAGAGACUCGGUGAAAUCAUAGUACCUGUGAAGAUGCAGGUUACCCGCGACAGGACGGAAAGACCCCGUGGAGCUUUACUGUAGCCUGAUAUUGAAAUUCGGCACAGCUUGUACAGGAUAGGUAGGAGCCUUUGAAACGUGAGCGCUAGCUUACGUGGAGGCGCUGGUGGGAUACUACCCUAGCUGUGUUGGCUUUCUAACCCGCACCACUUAUCGUGGUGGGAGACAGUGUCAGGCGGGCAGUUUGACUGGGGCGGUCGCCUCCUAAAAGGUAACGGAGGCGCUCAAAGGUUCCCUCAGAAUGGUUGGAAAUCAUUCAUAGAGUGUAAAGGCAUAAGGGAGCUUGACUGCGAGACCUACAAGUCGAGCAGGGUCGAAAGACGGACUUAGUGAUCCGGUGGUUCCGCAUGGAAGGGCCAUCGCUCAACGGAUAAAAGCUACCCCGGGGAUAACAGGCUUAUCUCCCCCAAGAGUUCACAUCGACGGGGAGGUUUGGCACCUCGAUGUCGGCUCAUCGCAUCCUGGGGCUGUAGUCGGUCCCAAGGGUUGGGCUGUUCGCCCAUUAAAGCGGUACGCGAGCUGGGUUCAGAACGUCGUGAGACAGUUCGGUCCCUAUCCGUCGUGGGCGUAGGAAAUUUGAGAGGAGCUGUCCUUAGUACGAGAGGACCGGGAUGGACAUACCUCUGGUGUACCAGUUGUCGUGCCAACGGCAUAGCUGGGUAGCUAUGUGUGGACGGGAUAAGUGCUGAAAGCAUCUAAGCAUGAAGCCCCCCUCAAGAUGAGAUUUCCCAACUUCGGUUAUAAGAUCCCUCAAAGAUGAUGAGGUUAAUAGGUUCGAGGUGGAAGCAUGGUGACAUGUGGAGCUGACGAAUACUAAUCGAUCGAAGACUUAAUCAA
rnacentral:rRNA from 1 species